rnacentral:tRNA from 1 species
UCUAAUAUGGCAGAACACAAGUGCCAUGGAUUUAAACUCCAUUUAUAAAGAAAUACUCUUUUUUUAGAA